AUUGAACGCUGGCGGCAUGCUUUACACAUGCAAGUCGAACGGUAACAGGGUGCUUGCACCGCUGACGAGUGGCGAACGGGUGAGUAAUGCGUCGGAACGUGCCGAGUAGUGGGGGAUAACGCAGCGAAAGUUGUGCUAAUACCGCAUACGUACUGAGGUAGAAAGUGGGGGACCUUCGGGCCUCACGCUAUUCGAGCGGCCGACGUCUGAUUAGCUAGUAGGUGAGGUAAAGGCUCACCUAGGCGACGAUCAGUAGCGGGUCUGAGAGGAUGAGCCGCCACACUGGGACGGAGACACGGACCAGACUCCUACGGGAGGAAGCAGUGGGGAAUUUUGGACAAUGGGCGAAAGCCUGAUCCAGCCAUGCCGCGUGUCUGAAGAAGGCCUUCGGGUUGUAAAGGACUUUUGUCAGGGAGGAAAUCCCUAGUGCUAAUAACACUGGGGGAUGACAGUACCUGAAGAAUAAGCACCGGCUAACUACGUGCCAGCAGCCGCCGUAAUAC
rnacentral:rRNA from 1 species